AUGUUCUAUCCCCCUUUACUCAUGUUAUCCCCAGUUCCACCAGUCAUAUUCCCAGGACAGUUAUCCCCAGUUACACCAGUCAUAUUCCCAGGACAGUUAUCCCCAGUUACACCAGUCAUAGUCCCAGGACAGUUAUCCCCAGUUACACCAGUCAUAUUCCCAGGACAGUUAUCCCAGUUACACCAGUCAUAUUCCCAGGACAGUUAUCCCCAGUUACACCAGUCAUAUUCCCAGGACAGUUAUCCCCAGUUACACCAGUCAUAUUCCCAGGACAGUUAUCCCCAGUUAUACCAGUCAUAUUCCCAGGACAGUUAUCCCAGUUACACCAGUCAUAUUCCCAGGACAGUUAUCCCCAGUUACACCAGUCAUAGUCCCAGGACAGUUAUCCCCAGUUCCACCAGUCAUAUUCCCAGGACAGUUAUCCCAGUUCCUCCAGUCAUAUUCCCAGGACAGUUAUCCCCAGUUACACCAGUCAUAUUCCCAGGACAGUUAUCCCAGUUCCUCCAGUCAUAUUCCCAGGACAGUUAUCCCAGUUCCUCCAGUCAUAUUCCCAGGACAGUUAUCCCAGUUAUACCAGUCAUAUUCCCAGGACAGUUAUCCCCAGUUACACCAGUCAUAUUCCCAGGACAGUUAUCCCCAGUUACACCAGUCAUAGUCCCAGGACAGUUAUCCCCAGUUACACCAGUCAUAUUCCCAGGACAGUUAUCCCAGUUAUACCAGUCAUAUUCCCAGGACAGUUAUCCCAGUUACACCAGUCAUAUUCCCAGGACAGUUAUCCCAGUUCCACCAGUCAUAUUCCCAGGACAGUUAUCCCAGUUACACCAGUCAUAUUCCCAGGACAGUUAUCCCAGUUACACCAGUCAUAUUCCCAGGACAGUUAUCCCCAGUUACACCAGUCAUAUUCCCAGGACAGUUAUCCCCAGUUACACCAGUCAUAUUCCCAGGACAGUUAUCCCCAGUUACACCAGUCAUAUUCCCAGGACAGUUAUCCCCAGUUACACCAGUCAUAUUCCCAGGACAGUUAUCCCCAGUUACACCAGUCAUAUUCCCAGGACAGUUAUCCCCAGUUACACCAGUCAUAGUCCCAGGACAGUUAUCCCCAGUUACACCAGUCAUAGUCCCAGGACAGUUAUCCCCAGUUACACCAGUCAUAUUCCCAGGACAGUUAUCCCCAGUUACACCAGUCAUAUUCCCAGGACAGUUAUCCCCAGUUACACCAGUCAUAUUCCCAGGACAGUUAUCCCCAGUUACACCAGUCAUAGUCCCAGGACAGUUAUCCCCAGUUACACCAGUCAUAGUCCCAGGACAGUUAUCCCCAGUUACACCAGUCAUAGUCCCAGGACAGUUAUCCCCAGUUACACCAGUCAUAGUCCCAGGACAGUUAUCCCCAGUUACACCAGUCAUAGUCCCAGGACAGUUAUCCCCAGUUACACCAGUCAUAGUCCCAGGACAGUUAUCCCCAGUUACACCAGUCAUAGUCCCAGGACAGUUAUCCCAGUUACACCAGUAGGAUAA
rnacentral:lncRNA from 1 species